rnacentral:rRNA from 1 species
AGUGAACGCUGGCGGUAGGCCUAACACAUGCAAGUCGAACGGCAGCACAGUAAGAGCUUGCUCUUACGGGUGGCGAGUGGCGGACGGGUGAGGAAUACAUCGGAAUCUACUUUUUCGUGGGGGAUAACGUAGGGAAACUUACGCUAAUACCGCAUACGACCUACGGGUGAAAGCAGGGGAUCUUCGGACCUUUCGCGAUUGAAUGAGCCGAUGUCGGAUUAGCUAGUUGGCGGGGUAAAGGCCCACCAAGGCGACGCUCCGUAGCUGGUCUGAGAGGAUGAUCAGCCACACUGGAACUGAGACACGGUCCAGACUCCUACGGGAGGCAGCAGUGGGGAAUAUUGGACAAUGGGCGAAAGCCUGAUCCAGCCAUACCGCGUGGGUGAAGAAGGCCUUCGGGUUGUAAAGCCCUUUUGUUGGGAAAGAAAAGCAGCAGGUUAAUACCCCGCUGUUCUGACGGUACCCAAAGAAUAAGCACCGGCUAACUUCGUG